UUUGAGCAAGGUUUAGCCAACCUGCAGUCACACACAGGAAGAGACAGUGCCAUCUUCCUCUGGAUAUUGUUGUGUUAUAUCUGGAGUUAGCACCUGGAAUUGUUACAGCCUUUUUGCUAUUAGGCUGAAGAUGAAGCCAAUGAGCAGAGAAAGGCCAAGGCAAGAGACGACAGAAAAGCAGUAGCCUCCCCGACUUCUGUGACCAAGAAAAAAACAGAAUUCCCCAAAAGAACUUGGAGGUGCGGGCAUAACUCUGAGGAUUGGGGUUGAAUUCCAUGCCUAACUUUUGGCAGAGGACGUCGUUCUGAAAAGACAUUACAAAGAUAUCCUUCUGAUAAAAUUCUGAG
rnacentral:lncRNA from 1 species